rnacentral:sRNA from 1 species
AAAGGCGGACUGGCUGAUUAAACAUUCCCGUCACGAUGAAGGCUCUGCCACACUGCAACCUUCGAACGUUGUCUAAAGUUGUUCCAUUGGCUGGAUAACGUUACCGCUGGU